GACGAACGCUGGCGGCGUGCCUAAUACAUGCAAGUCGAACGCAUUUUCUUUCACCGUAGCUUGCUACACCGACAGAAAAUGAGUGGCGAACGGGUGAGUAACACGUGGGUAACCUGCCCAUCAGCGGGGGAUAACACUUGGAAACAGGUGCUAAUACCGCAUAAUUCCAUUUACUGCAUGGUAGAUGGAUGAAAGGCGCUUUUGCGUCACUGAUGGAUGGACCCGCGGUGCAUUAGCUAGUUGGUGGGGUAACGGCCUACCAAGGCUGCGAUGCAUAGCCGACCUGAGAGGGUGAUCGGCCACACUGGGACUGAGACACGGCCCAGACUCCUACGGGAGGCAGCAGUAGGGAAUCUUCGGCAAUGGACGCAAGUCUGACCGAGCAACGCCGCGUGAGUGAAGAAGGUUUUCGGAUCGUAAAACUCGGUUGUUAGAAAAGAACAAGGAUGAGAGUGGAAAGUUCAUCCCUUGACGGUAUCUAACCAGAAAGCCACGGCUAACUACGUG
rnacentral:rRNA from 1 species